rnacentral:snoRNA from 1 species
CUGUAAAAAUUCUGUUUAUAUCUGUUCUGUUCAUGCACGGUGCUAACCCCGGGCUUGUCGGAUUGGAAUCCUCUGAAGAAUGAAGCCCCAAUGCCUGUGCUAGAUCCACCAUGCCAUUCAGUGUUGCAG